AGAGUUUGAUCCUGGCUCAGGAUGAACGCUGGCGGCGUGCUUAACACAUGCAAGUCGAACGAAGAUAUUCAAGUAGCAAUACGAGGAUAUCUUAGUGGCGGACGGGUGAGUAACGCGUGAGGAACCUGCCUUGGAGAGGGGAAUAACACAUUGAAAAGUGUGCUAAUACCGCAUAAAGCAUCGAUAUCACAUGGUAAUGAUGCCAAAGAUUUAUCGCUCUGAGAUGGCCUCGCGUCUGAUUAGCUAGUUGGUGAGGUAACGGCCCACCAAGGCGACGAUCAGUAGCCGGACUGAGGGGUUGACCGGCCACAUUGGGACUGAGAUACGGCCCAGACUCCUACGGGAGGCAGCAGUGGGGAAUAUUGGGCAAUGGGCGAAAGCCUGACCCAGCAACGCCGCGUGAAGGAAGAAGGCCCUCGGGUUGUAAACUUCUUUUAAGAGGGACGAAAAAAAUGACGGUACCUCUG
rnacentral:rRNA from 1 species